GGAGUCUGGGCCGUGUCUCAGUCCCAAUGUGGCCGUUCAACCUCUCAGUCCGGCUACUGAUCGUUGCCUUGGUGGGCCGUUACCUCACCAACCAGCUAAUCAGACGCGAGCCCAUCUUUCAGCGAUAAAUCUUUGAUAUUAAUACGAUGCCGUAUCAAUAUGUUAUGAGGUAUUACCAUCCGUUUCCAGAAGCUAUCCCUCUCUGAAAGGCAGGUUGCUCACGUGUUACUCACCCGUCCGCCACUAAGUUUAAAAGAGCAAGCUCUCUUAAACUCCGUUCGACUUGCAUGUGUUAGGCGUGCCGCCAGCGUUCAUC
rnacentral:rRNA from 1 species